CUUCGUAAAAUAACUUCAUUGCAACUAUAUUAUUACUAGAAUAACUUCAUGAAGCAAUCGAAAUGACUACAUGAGUUAACCUUAGCUAGUUAAGACAUUACUCUAUUGGAUAUAAGCAUAACUGAACGCUUAAAUAAUACUCGCACAAGUCUAGAAAAAUACUCACAGUCCAAACACAGUCCUGUAUGAAUUAAAUGAUCUAAGUAGUUAGGAAAUUUUUCUAAUUAUGUAGUCCUUAAUACAAUUACAAAUUAAACAAACUAAAUGCGUAUACUACUCAUCACAUGGUCGAAUACAGCUAUAUGCAUCCAAACGAGCAUAGAUCUGGAAAUAUGAUUUCAUUUCGUUGUUUCGACAGGAUAAGCUACAUUGAUAAUCCAGAAUGUGUACCUGGUAAUUUACUAAGCAAAUGAAAGGAGGGAGGAUCAGUAAUGAAGAGCAGUAACAAACACGGCACAGCAACAUGUUCAAGCAACACCAGUGAACUUUCAAUAGAAAACCAAUCACUCAAACUGAUGCAAUAUUCAGCAAGUAAAAAACCCAGGAAAAUACUAAACAGUAGUACUUGAAAACCAACUGAAGAUCCUAGCAACACCAAUGGAAUACCAGUUGUACCAGAAAACAACCUCAGUCAAAAUAGAAGAGAAACAAAUUAAAAGUAACAGUAGUUGCCUGCCUUUGAACACUUACGGAAACAAAACUUGCAAUUUCAAAUGAACUAGUAGGAAACACUAACACUGAUUUUUAGCAAAAUAAAAUAUGCUCUCCUAAUAUUGAAUUUCUGAUCUUAAAAUUCAGUUCUAAGCUCUCAAUUCCCAAUCUUUAAGAUUCAGUUACACUCUUAGUUCUAAGUUUCUGACCUCUAAAACUCUCCUCCUUUUCUGUUUUCGACCCCCUGUAUUUAUAGCCUAUUCCAGACCUUAAAAGGCACUAAGCCAGCUGCCUCAUUCAUUACUCCCUCAUGUACUUUUGCUUUUCAGUUCUUAGGAGCAUUAUCACUAAUUAAAGAAGCGAAUAAAACCAUGUUAUUCCCUGCAUUCCCCACUCAGAAUACUCAAACACUUAGCUUUUUGGUACCACCACUGGCCUUUCUUUCUUUAUUAAGUUACAGACGUAUGGGCAGCCUGUUAUUCUAUUCAAAAUCCCUUAAACCUGUGAAAGGGUGCCCAUGUGACUUCUGCUUUCUAACCUUAAGGGUGUACGUAUGAGCAGCCUGUUAUUCUAUUCAAAAUCUCUUAAACCUGUGAAAGGGUGCCCAUGUGACUUCUGCUUUCUAACCUUAAGGGUGUAUUAAUCAAUGUAUUAACUUAUUGGUCCACUAGUAUCACCAGACAGACCACUCACUAGACCACUUUCAAUUUCUCAGAUUUCAAAUUACCCUUGAAAAUCUAACUAGAGAUACAGCUAUAACCAACUUAAUCAAACUCAAUCUAAGAUGAAUGGACAGAAACCAGUGAGGAAAAACAUGCAUUUAAACUGAACUGGCAACCCACGGAACUUAGAGAUUGACAACAUCAGUUCAAUGUUAUUACUGACUAAGUAAAUGAACCGAUUUCUAAACUUAUGCACUCAGGCACACUUAUCAAUUUUAACAAUGUGAUGCAUUAAUUUCAUACGAACAGACUAACUUGGUUUGACCAUAGAAUCAAACAGAAACGAAGCAGGAGAAGAAGAAACAUGAAAAUUAAACAAAGAAAAGAGAGCUGAAAAAUACCGGAUAUUCAAAACUGACCAACACUGAAACUUCCUCGUCCCUUCGUUUUUUGCAGAAGCGGACCUUAAUCGUGUGCUUCCAAUAUGGAAACAUAUUACUAAGGUCGAAUUUAGUCCCAAAAGAUCCUCACAGUGCGUGUUUGGUCUUCCAGUCAAACUUAGGGCUCCGUUCAAUCAAUAUAAGAUUCGAAAACUUCCAGCUUGAUUCAAACAAAAGAUGGCGUUAAAUUAGGGAUGAGGGAGGUCAGGUGGAGCUGGGGUGUGAAUUUGGAACUGGUUGGGUAGGUUUAAGGUUUUGUUCGAAUCUUCGAUUGAAGAUUCGAAACAAACCGGGAUGGUUCGAUGUGAAAGGGUUAAGGAUUUGGAGAGGGGGGAUCAGGGUGGUUCAGGGGUGUAAGUUUGGCGGACAUCGGAGCCGGCGCCGCCGGUUUUUCAGGCGAAGGAAAUGGGGGCGGCGUUUAGUGUUCAGGGGUCGUUUGGUGUCUCUGAAGAGACGAAGGGGGAGUGUUUGGAAAUGAGACGGGUAAAGGGGAUUUGGAGGGGGGUUUAUUUGGAUAUAUAAUUGCUUAAUUAAUCUAGGCCGUUGGAUAAUGAGAUCCAACAGUUCAGAAUAAAAAGAAAUGAUGGGGCGGUCCAGUUUGGUAACGGGUGAGGGUCGGGAUUUGGAUUUGGGCCGCAUAAAUGCACACCUGGGUUUAGGAAGGUAAAAUUAAUUAAGAUGUGUCCUAUAGACACUAACGUAUUUGUUGUUUUGGAAAAGGCCUUGAAUUUCAUUAAGCGGCCAAUUUCGAAGUCUAUUCACUUAUUAUGUCUAUUUAGUCAAGGAGCCGCAAUUUGUAAUUUAUUUGGCAGUGCAUGCGUCAUUUUAUUUUAAAGGAUAACCUGAAGCGACUAAUUUUCUAUUUUCGUUGCAUUUCUAAAAAUAAGAGAAAGAGACCUAGGUAAUUAAUAUUGGGUUAAGAACUAUUAUAAUUGGGCCUUGAGCAUAACCCAUUUAAAAUCAGAACCCAAAUCGCUUUAGUAUAGACUCUCAGUCCCUUUUCGCAAAAAAUGAAACACAACUCUGAUUUAAACAAGACUAGACAUUUGCUGAAUUUUAAUUUUAAUUUUAAUUUUUUAUAAUGAGUACCUUAGACAAGAUUAAAUGCAAAGAUUAAAUUGAGUAAAAUGCCCAUGAGAUAAACUAAAGUAUAUGAACUACCCUUUUUAUCACACAAUUUAACUAUCUGUAUCCUUCAUAUUCCCUAAUACACUUUCCUAGUAUUUCCAACAAACUAAAUUAUUACUGAAAUAGCUUCGCAAUAUAACUUAAUUGCAACUAUAUUAUUACUAGAAUAACUUCAUGAAGCAAUCGAAAUGACUACAGGAGUUAGCCUUAGCUAGUUAAGACAUUACUCUAUUGGACAUAAGCAUAACUGAACGCUUAACUAAUACUCAUACAAGUCUAGAAAAAUACUCAUAGUCAAAACACAGUCCCGUAUGAAUUAACUGAUCUAAGCAGUUCAGAAAUUAAUCUAAUUAUGUAGUCCAUAAUAAAAUUACAUAUUAAACAAACUAAAUGCGUAUACUACUCAUCACAUGGUCGAAUACAGCUAUAUGCAUCCAAACGAGCAUAGAUCUGGAAAUAUGAUUUCAUUUCGUUGUUUCGACAGGAUAAGCUACAUUGAUAAUCCAGAAUGUGUACCUGGUAAUUUACUAAGCAAAUGAAAGGAGGGAGGAUCAGUAAUGAAGAGCAGUAACAAACACGGCACAGCAACAUGUUCAAGCAACACCAGUGAACAACACUCUGGGAAACAAAACUUGGAAUUUCAAAUAAACCAGUAGGAAACACUAACACUGAUUUUUAGCAAAAUAGACUAUACUCUCAUAAUAUUGAACUUCUGAUCUUAAAAUUCAGUUCUAAGCUCUUAAUUUCUAAUCUUUUAAAUUCAGUCCCACUCUUAGUUCUAAGUUUCUGACCUCUAAAACUCUUCUCCUUUUCUAUUUUCGACCCCCUGUAUUUAUAGCCCAUUCCAUCCCUUAAAAGGCACUAAGCCAGCUGCCUCAUUCAUUACUCCCUCAUGUAAUUUUGCUUUUCAGAUCUUAGGAGCAUUAUCACUAAUUAAAGAAGUGAAUAAACCCAUGUUAUUCCCUGCAUUCCCCACUCAUAAUAAUCAAACACUUAGCUUUUUGGUACCACCACUGGCCUUUCUUUCUUUAUUAAGUUACUAAGGUAUGGGCAGCCUAUUAUUCUAUUCAAAAUCCCUUAAACCUGUGAAAGGGUGCCCCUGUGACUUCUACUUUCUGACCCUAAGGGUGUAUUAAUCAAUGUAUUAACUUAUUGGUCCACUAGUAUCACCUGACAGACCACUCACUAGACCACUUUCAAUUUCUCAGAUUUCAAAUUACCCUAGAACAUCUCACUAGAGAUGCAGCUAUAACCAACUUAAUCAAACUCAAAUCAGAUACUGAGAUGAAUGGACUGAAAUCAGUGAGGUAUAACAUGCAUUUAAACUGAACUGGAAACCCACAGAACUUAAAGAUUGACAACUUCAGUUCAAUGUUAUUAUUGACGAAGUAAAUGAACUGAUUUCUAAACUUAAGCAUUCAGGCAGACUUAUCAAUUUUAACAUUUUGAUGCAUUAAUUUCAUACGAAUAUACUAACUUAGUUUGAUCACAGAAUCAAAUAGAAACGAAGCAGGUGAAGAAGAAACAUGAAAAUUAAACAAAGAAAAGAGAGUUGAAAAUACCGGAUAUUCAAAACUGACCAACAUUGAAAUUCCUCGUCCCUUCGUUGUGGGCAGAAGCAGACCUUAAUCGUGUGCUUCCAUUGUUGAAACAUAUGACUAAUGUGGAAUUCAGUCCCAAAAGAUCCUCACGGUGCGUGUUUGGUCUUCGAGUCAAAAUUAGGGCUCCAUUUAAUCAAUCUAAGAUUCAAAAAGUUCCAGCUUGAUUCAAACAAAAGAUGGCGUUAAAUUAGGGAUAAGGGAGGUCAGGUGGAGCUGGGGUGUGAAUUUGGAACUGGUUAGGUAGGUAUAAGGUUUCGUUCGAAUCGUUGACUGAAGAUUCGAAACAAACCGGGAUGAUUCGAGGUGAAAGGGGUAAGGAUUUGGAGAGUGGGGAUCAGGGCGAUUAAAGGGUGUAAGUUUGGCAGACAUCAGAGCCGGCACCGCCGGGUUUUCAGGCGAAGGAAAUGGGAGCGGCGUUUAGGGUUCAGGGGUCGUUUGGUUUGUCUCUGAAGAGACGAAGGGGGAGUGUUUAGAAAUGAGACGGGUAAAGGGGAUUUGGGGGCGGGGUUAUUUGGAUAUAAAAU
rnacentral:lncRNA from 1 species